rnacentral:rRNA from 1 species
CACUUCUAAGGAAGGCAGCAGGCGCGCAAAUUACCCAAUCCUGACUCAGGGAGGUAGUGACAAGAAAUAACAAUAAACCGGCUUAUGCCGGUUUAAUUGGAAUGAGUACAAUUUAAACAUCUUAACGAGGAACAAUUGGAGGGCAAGUCUGGUGCCAGCAGCCGCGGUAAUUCCAGCUCCAAUAGCGUAUACUAAAGUUGUUGCAGUUAAAAAGCUCGUAGUUGGAUUUCUGUGGGGACGGAGCGGCCGGCCGCACAUCGCGGUUCGAGCUAGCGCUUUCCCUACAUCCUGCCGCGAACCGUGCUACCAUUAAUUUGGUGGCGCCGGGGAUCGGCUCGAUUACUUUGAGAAAAAUAGAGUGUUCAAAGCAGGCCACAUGCCUUGAAUAAGUUAGCAUGGAAUAAUAACUAAGGACUUCGGUUCUAUUUUGUUGGUGUUCGGGACUGAAGUAAUGAUUGAUAGGGACAGUUGGGGCGGUCUGUAUUCCAAAGCGAGAGGUGAAAUUCUUAGACCUUCGGAAGACAAACAGCUGCGAAAGCGUUCCGCAAGGAUGUUCCCUUUGAUCAAGAACGAAAGUUGGGGGAUCGAAGACGAUCAGAUACCGUCGUAGUCUCAACUAUAAACUAUACCAGCUAGGGAUCGGCCAACGUUAUUUUAUACCGACUUGGUCGGCACCUUAUGAGAAAUCAAAGCAUCUGGGUUCCGGGGGGAGUAUGGUCGCAAGGCUGAAACUUAAAGGAAUUGACGGAAGGGCACCACCAGCCGUGGAGCCUGUGGCUUAAUUUGACUCAACACGGGAAAACUUACCAGGUCCAGACAUAGUAAGGAUUGACAGAUUGAUAGCUCUUUCUUGAUUCUGUGGGUGGUGGUGCAUGGCCGUUCUUAGUUGGUGGAGUGAUUUGUCUGGUUAAUUCCGUUAACGAACGAGACCCCAGCCUGCUAAAUAGCGCGCAUGAGCUUUGCUCGUGGCGAGCUUCUUAGAGGGACUAUGAUGCGCGAUAGCACAUGGAAGUUUGGGGCAAUAACAGGUCUGUGAUGCCCUUAGAUGUUCUGGGCCGCACACGGGCUACACUGGCGCCUGCAACGAGCAUAUCAGCUGGCCCGAGAGGGUCUUGGCUAAUCUUUUGAACCGGCGCCGUGCUUGGGAUUGACCUUUGCAAUUGUUGGUCAUGCAACGAGGAAUGCCUUGUAAACGCGAGUCAUCAGCUCGCAUUGAAUACGUCCCUGCCCUUUGUACACACCGCCCGUCGCUCCUACCGAUGAAUGUUCCGAUGAAAUUUUCGGAGAGCACCUGUGAACUUGGCUCUGCCUUGCGAACGGGAGGCUCAAAGUCACUUAAAUCUGAACAUU